ACUAUGUGCAUCGUAAAUUCACGCCACCGAAGGACUUUUGGCUGCAGAAGAAAACAUUGGUUGAAGCAGAUCUCUAAACGCAGGAAUGAGGCACAAAACAAAUUUAAUUCUCUUUGCCAUCCGGCCAUGUCGUAAAAUGUUGUGUAAUAGAAUAUUGGCGUCCUAUAGUUAGUUGUUUGUCGAUCCACGGGUGCUGGUGGGACUGGAAAAACCUGAGCGGAAUACUGAUGAAAAUCAGUAGUGUUAAACUUGCCAGGUGGCAGCAGAGGAAUAUAAUAACGAAGUUUUCUUGGAGCAUCCACUUGACAUAAGGCGAGAUGAUGUGAGUAGAGAGCAAACGGAUGCUGGUAAAAUAGACACUCUGUUUUCUGCCUAUUCCAACAACAAUGAAAGAAAGAGUGGAGUGCGGCCAGGAAGGACGAUGACACUGUAGAGUGAUGAGAAAACUGUGUUUCUAAUAUGAUAAUAUUUAAAUAGCGAGAUGGGAAAUCUGCUAGGCUACAGCAAAAAGUUUUCUUGUCAAAUAUUCAUUCGCAAAGUACAGCAAUGGAGUUGGAGUGACAUGAUUGUGAAAUUAUUGGGCUGUUACGAAGUCAUUGCCAAUGGUUCGGUGAUUUUUCGAAGUGCUUUAAGAUUUAAUGGAAUCGUAAGACCUUUAAUUCGAACCUAAGUUUAUGAGAAUCGGUCACACUACCUGAGGAAAGUAAGUAUUCCGAAAUUGAAACACAAAAGUCAAAUACAUUAAUCACCCUGUAAAUGAGUUUGAAAUUCUGAAAUUUCCUAUGGGAUCUUUUAUUCGAAUCCAAGUUUGGGAAAAUUGGUUUAGCUUUAUCUCCGAGUAAAGUGCGUGCACAAAAAUGCUACACAGCCAUUUUGCCUACUAAAUGAACUGAUUCAAGCCUCGGUUCAAAGAUCGGUUUUUCACAGUGAUUGUAUAACCCUUGUGUAUGAGAAGAACGAAAAUCCCGUGAAAAAAAACAUUUUAUUUUGAAGAUUGAUUAUAGCGACAAAGACUUUGCUUGAAUCAACUUAUCUCUCAUGCUCUAUUUCGAUUAAAUCAAUUAAACGAAAUCUAACGAACCUGCAUUUCUGUUACUUUUGUACAUGUAAUUCAAGCUACGCAGCAUGGGUCAGCAGCAUAAAACAUGUAGUAGGAUUAUUACCAUUGUUGUAAUUAUUAUCAUUGUAAAUAAUUUCCGUAACAGUAUGUAUGUCAGAAUUAUUUUCGGUUUUUCAUUAACAUCACUACAACACCAGCCCAGUAUUACUGUACUAACGGCUGUGACGAUUGCAUCUACAUUGCUAAACAUGAAAUUCCGAAGUAUGUUUAUUUUUCAAUUAAAUUUUAAUUAUUUGAUAUUCUUCUAUUUUUUUAGUCGCACUUAUCAUAAAAAAGCUAAGAUUUUCUCAACAGCAACACCGUGUUUCACCAAAAUCACACACCAGUAGCAGACAUUCGUAACCGUAACCGUUUUCUUUAUAGCCUGUAGGAAAUUGAAUAUAGUACGUUGCGUGAAAGGCGCGCUGUAUUUACUUCUACCGUGCCAGCACCUAUCGGUGCGUACCGGUUUUGCAUCCUCAUUUUAUAUUACGGUUUGAAAGUUUUUAAACUCUUCGCCCUGUAUUUGGGGAAACUGCGCACAAUUUUGCUGAACCAAGCUUUUUCAUAUGAGCUACCAGUAAAAAGUUAUGAUCGUUUUUUCAUCAAAAACUAGUCAACCUUCAAAUGCCAAUAUUCAUUAAAUGCCAGAUCGAUAAAAAUAUAUUUUAUACGGUUUCUGAAAGGUCAUAAUAUGAGUAAAAAUUUAAGAGAAAAUUGAAAGGGUGUUAUUUUUUUAACUUACUUAAAUUAGUCUUAAAAAUACCUUCAAAAAACUUCAAAACAAAAUGAGACGUCAAAUGAAAAGUUUCCUUUCCUACAACUUUACUGUACAGCGAAAUCACUUUUGAGUUCAAUUAAGAAAGUUAGUUUUCAGAUUUCAAUCGAAAUAAGGACCACCCUAGUAACUUGUCCCAGGUUGGCGGUUCAAUGCAUAGGACGCUGGUCUUACAAGCCAGUUGUCGUAUGUUCGAGUCCCGACCUGGAAGGAUUCUUAGUGUCAGUAGGAUCCAUAGUACUAGCCAUGCAAUGAUUCUGUACACUAAGGAUCGGCUGCGAAGUCUGUUGAAGCAGAAAGGCCAAAUUCCACAAAAGGAAUAUAAUGCCAAGACUUUGCUCUGCUAGUAACUUUUCUCAUCAAAAGGAGCGCCAUUUGAUUACAAACAACUUUUGUGAAGACGCCAACUACAAAAAACUAGUAUUAAAUAGUGAAAACAUUUUUGUCACGUUAAUUUCCCAUUUCGAACCACUGUUCAAUGUAAGCUUUAAUUUAAAGAAAGAUUUGCGAAAAUCGGAUCAAGUAUCGCCGAGAAAUCAAGGUUAGCUCUACUUUUCGAGUUUUUCUUCACUGCCUUCGAUGCUUCCAGAGCUGGAAAUGGGGGGCCAGUAGUACCGAACAGAGCUGCAAAUUGUCAGUCAUGUCAAAUGACCUUGACAGACUGACUAAAAUCAUCGUCAACUGUAAGCGGUACAAUCAAAGUGUCUGUUAAAUGAGAUACUCGAUAGUUCAAUGACCAAGUAGAAGUAUACUCAGUCAAAGACAGGUGACGCAUUUUAUUCUCUGUCUCAUUCUCCUAUUCCCUGUUGAAUUAAAAAACAAUGCAUGAGAGUACUAACAUAAACAUAAAUUGAUAAAGUUCAUUGUUCUUUGUAAAAAGUCAUUGGAUUUCGGAGUUUAUUGGUGUACAUGAAUUUAAUUCAAUGUUUAUGCUACUUGAUUAAUAUUUAGUCACAUCGUAAUCAAGCAGUGACAGGAGAAAUGAAGAUAAUAUCAAUCGCAUCGGCAUUCAAUGAGCGUCCUGGUGAGUAUAAUAUCAAGAGAAUUCAAAUUAUGACAGAUCGGCUCUCAGACACUCAAUAUAUGAUGAUUGGUAGAGCCUGGUUGGCAGCAGUCCAGUGACAUAAACUUUCCAAUCUUCGUCGUUCAAAGUUGCUCGUUGAUAGUGACAUUUAGCAGCUCUGGUACCGAAUAAGUUUAUAUGCCUACAAACUAACAAGUUCUACAAACUAGAAAAAUUGAUCAGUCAGUUUUAAACUGUUUGUACCUGGUUUUACCAUCGUUUGUGAAAAAAUACCCCAAGAACUGAAAAUUUUUCACAUUCCAGAAACUUUUAAAGAACUAUAAGACCUUUCAAUUGAAUCUCAGUCUAUGAACAUCGGUUAAGCCAUUUCCGAGCAAAUUGAGUGCACAGUUUUCCUUAAUUUUCACAAUUUUAAUUUUGGAUCCGGAUUUUUAACAAUUUUAAUUUCAAAUCCAAAUAAAAUUCAAUAGUAGACUAUGGGACCAUAAGACCUUUCCCGUAUGAAAAUCAGUUCAGCCAUAUCUGAAAAAAGUGAGUGCAUAUUUUUUUCCAUUUUCUUGGUGCAUAUCAUUCUUUAUCUCCGGAACCGGAAGACGGAUCGGAAUGAAAUUCAAUAGCAGGUUAUGGGACUAUAUGACCUUUUAUUUGAAUCUAAUGUCGUUUUCGUUUGAUACCAAACCUAACUCAGUAUCCAUCCUUACUGCUGUCAAACCAUUUGUUUGAGCCACCUUCAGACAUAGCUUCAACGUUGUUGAACUAAAAAUAUAGUCAGUUUCGAACCUGAUUUUGAUAUUAGGUUUACUCAAACCUCCGUUGCUAAGUGCGAAUCCAACACAGUUUCGUUGUUCAGUGUUUGUUUAAUGAAAAACCCUGGAUCAGUUUAAGUUUCCUCAAGCGAAAACGACAUACGUUCGUGAAAAUCGGUUGAGCCAUCUUCGAGAAAGUGAGUGCAUAUUUUUAUUGCAUACGCAUACACACAUACAAUAAAUUUACGAUAAAUAAGUAAUUCGUAAGAUUUGAAAAAUGUAAUAACUGUCGUAGCACAUUCCUAGUGCGAACCAUCACUUUUUCUAUAUUGUUUGCAGCUAAAUUCAAAGUGUUUUAUUAUGACAGGGAUAUUUAGUAACAUGGCCUCCUGAAAACAUUUUGUCUAUAUCAGUCUUCGAUUACAGGUUAUAAUACUAUUACCGGACUUAACACAAGGAUCAAUAAGGUCAUUUUUAAUGAGCGUGAAAGGGCAGUAAUGACGAUGUCUUUUUUUCAGAUCAGACCUCCGGCUCCGGAAUAACACGUAGAGUCGCUUUGUAUUUUGUGAAUCAUUCUGUCAACAAAUUAGAUGAAACCGAAUACAAUAUCUUUGCUUGGGCCCUAAGGAGCAAUAUCGCAGGAAAAAAAAUUGAAAAUUAUUUGUGCCAAUCUACACUGAUACCCGUACUAUGGUUCCGGAAACACCAGCAGUAAUGGCCUUAAACGCUCCAAAAUGUUAAUUACACCGAGGAUACAAGCGGUAAUGAGAAUGUUAUCAGUCGGUGAAGUGAAAUAGGUUUUUCAAAACAAAUAUACCUACCAUGAAAACUUCCAUCGCCAUAUCGGUCAGCAGACCAUUAACGAAAUGGAACUUCUCCAGUGCCCCAUCGAAGGUCAUGCCUACGAACACACCUUUGGGUAGGUUUUCCACCCGAUGCCCAUCGAUGUUGAGCACUUUCAGUAAACUCAGCACUUUCAUAGCAUCCGCGGGAAAAGCUGUCAACUCACUGCGCACCAGAUGCAGCUCCAGCAGCGUAUCGUUGAUCCCGUAGAACACAUGAUCACUGAUGGUGGCGAUGGGUGUGUCGAGUAUGAAGAGCCGUUUCACGCUAAGCUUGUGCAGCAGGGUUCCGAAAAGGUUUUCUGUUGAGAAAUGAAAACCACAGGCGUGAAACAAUGAACAAGUUAUUAGUACAUGAUCGUGUUACCGGAAAAAAUCGGUCAAUCGGUGGUAAUCGUGUAAUACAGAUUGCUUGUACAUGGAGAACGUUAGGAAGAAAAUAAAACCAUCAAUUCAUCUAACAA